UACGUAGGUGGCAAGCGUUGUCCGGAUUUACUGGGCGUAAAGAGUGCGUAGGCGGUCCUGUAAGUUUGGUGUGAAAUCUCCCGGCUCAACUGGGAGGGUGCGCCGAAGACUGCAGGGCUUGAGUAUGGGAGAGGUAAGCGGAAUUCCUGGUGUAGCGGUGAAAUGCGUAGAUAUCAGGAGGAACACCGGUGGCGAAGGCGGGUCUCUGGGCCGAUACUGACGCUGGAGGAGCGAAAGCGUCGGGGAGCGAACAGG
rnacentral:rRNA from 1 species